UUCCGGUUGAUCCUGCCGGAGGCUACUGCUAUCGGGGUUCGAUUAAGCCAUGCAAGUUAAAUGUUCUUCGUGAACAUAGCGAACUGCUCAGUAACACGUGGAUAACCUACCCUUGGGACCGGAAUAACCCCGGGAAACUGGGGAUAAUACCGGAUAAAUCAUAGAUGCUGGAAUGCCCUAUGGUUCAAAGCUCCGGCGCCUAAGGAUGGAUCUGCGGUCUAUCAGGUUGUAGUGGGUGUAACGUACCUACUAGCCAACGACGGAUACGGGUUGUGAGAGCAAGAGCCCGGAGAUGGAUUCUGAGACACGAAUCCAGGCCCUACGGGGUGCAGCAGGCGCGAACACUUUACAAUGCGGGAAACCGCGAUAAGGGAACCCCGAGUGCCAGCAUCAAAUGUUGGCUGUCCGGAUGAUUAAAAAUCAUUUGUUAGCAAGGGCCGGGCAAGACCGGUGCCAGCCGCCGCGGUAACACCGGCGGCCCGAGUGGUAGCCGUUUUUAUUGGGUCUAAAGGGUCCGUAGCCGGCCUGAUAAGUCCUUUGGGAAAUCUGGCAGCUUAACUGUCAGGCUUCUAAGGGAUACUGUCAGGCUUGGGACCGGAAGAGGUAAGGGGUACUCCAGGGGUAGGAGUGAAAUCUUGUAAUCCCUGGGGGACCAUCUGUGGCGAAGGCGCCUUACCAGAACGGGUCCGACGGUGAGGGACGAAAGCUAGGGGAGCAAACCGGAUUAGAUACCCGGGUAGUCCUAGCUGUAAACGAUGCUCGCUAGGUGUCAGACACGGUGCGACCGUGUUUGGUGCCGCAGGGAAGCCGUUAAGCGAGCCACCUGGGAAGUACGGUCGCAAGGCUGAAACUUAAAGGAAUUGGCGGGGGAGCACUACAACGGGUGGAGCCUGCGGUUUAAUUGGAUUCAACGCCGGA
rnacentral:rRNA from 1 species